AAAAGUUUAUCAACCUGUUAGUUAAAUUUCAGUGGGAAAUGUUAGAUAAAGAAUUAAUUUCUUGACUUGAACAUUCUAAUUAAUGAAUGAUACUUAUUUAUAAACUAUCUAUUUUGUUAUAGUUCAAAUUUAAAGUUUGUGUUUAAACAUUAGCAUUUCAUAUAUUUUUGGGUCUUUUUUUCUUUUUUUGUGAGAGAGGGGUUUAGAUUACAAAGGUGUUUUUCUUUUUCUUUUUUUU
rnacentral:misc_RNA from 1 species